rnacentral:lncRNA from 1 species
UAGUCUUCAUGUGGAUAUAAGAUAUCUUGCUUGCAGAUAAAUGCCAAGACAAGACAUGCACUUGAGAUAUAUUUGACCCCAAUAUAAAUAUAAUUAUAAUUAGUGAAAGUAGCUAAGAGCUAGCUAGCUAUGGGAAACUUGGGUAGGAGAAUUGCCAAGUGGAAGAGAAUGGUGAGGCAACAGAGAGGGAAGCUUUAUAUUACAAGGGUCUGCAUUUCUAUGCUUCUUGGUUGCCACAAGUACUCUUGAUUUGAUUUGUGGCAUCCAUUUUUCUCACCUCCCUUCCAUGAUGUUAGAACCCUAACUUUUUUUUUUCUUCUAUGAUUAUCGACAUUUCAUCGUAUACGUAACAAGUUUGAGGUGCUAAUCAGUCCAUGCAUGCAUGCCUGCUGAAGAUGGAACUGCUGCCAGACGGUCGUGCAUCGAUCAGAAGAUCAUGUCUUUAUUUAGGUGGUGAGAUUAAAUUUGUGGGUCCAUGAGACCCAUGCAGUCCCAAAAUGUAUGAAUAUUAAUUUGAGAUAUAUUUAUAUAGCCAGGUGCUUGCUGUGAAUUAAGAAGCAUGUCUGAUUGAGAGAGAGAGAGAGAGAGAGAGAGAGAGAGAUACCUAGUUUGCUGUGAAUUAGUUUGUUACUGCUGACUGAGUGUGCUGUAAUUUUGUGUUUUCAAUACUAGGUUAAUUACUGUGUAAAAUAAUCUUCUUCUUUUGCGGGCAAGGAACCAUCUAACAAAUGAAUUUUGGAUCUGCAGAGCUAUAUAUACAUGAAAAAUCCAAGUUUGAGGUAUUAAUUUAUAGUAAUAAUAUAAAUGUACAAAUUAAUGUUGUUAAUAAAUUUGAAUUUUGAACGAAUAUUCCAUCCAAAAGCUUCCUGAAAUUCUGGCAGAGCACUGGAUUUUGUCAAUCUAUCCUUCAACCUUCUUCAUCUGCACACAUAAACAGUGGGGACAAAUUACAGCUCCACAUAAUAGAGACAGGCCUAGGUGGGUUGGCCCUGAGAAAAGGAUAUAAGCGCUCCAAAACCAGUCCUUGAACAGGGAGGGAGACAAAGCUGAUGUGUCUGCCUUGUCAUCUUUGUUUCGGCGGGGCCUCUCCAUGUUAAUAGCUACCAACACUUGUUCACCCACCCUCUGAUGAUAUUGCCUGACCAUUAUUUCUCUAUAUAAAAAAGCAGCAAGCUGAGCUCAAGUUCCAUGAGCAAGUUAUCAACCAAAAUACAAGUGCCUCUCUGCCUGGACUGGACUAUAGUCCGGGAACAUGAAAGGACGGAUGUCCUCUGUUCUGACGCUGAAGCAGCUGUCGUGGGAUAAGUGCUCGAGGCUGAUGAGGGAACAGCGGACGCGGCUUUAUAUCAUGUGGAGGUGCACUGUCAUACUUCUGUGCUGGGAUGAGUGACAGGAAGAAGAGGGGUACGUACUUUACAAGGUUUAAUGAAGCUGUAGAUAUAUUGGGGAAGUUAAUUAACUGUUGAGGCAAGUAUGUGUUUGUGAUCUGUUGAGUUUUCUAUUCAAAUUUGAUACAAAAAGUUAGCAAGAAAAUCUACUUCUGCUCCUGCUGCUGCUGUGGCUGGGAUGACUUCUCUUUCCCCUUUUACUGUUCUUUCUAUUUUUUUAAUUUAAAGGAAGUCAUGACAACAAUUGGAACAAAAUCAAUGCAAUCCUCAACUGUGCCCCACGAUCAUUUCAUCUACUGACAUUGGUCUUCAUUUUGUUAAUUUUGUUGGAGGAGGUUUCGGGUUCAAAUCCCAUAAUAAACAAGGCAGGACCUUUGUUUUUUUGGUUCUAGAAAAAAUCUCUUCGUUCAAACUAAACUAGAAGAAGGGAACAAAUUAUCUUCAUGGUUUUUUCUUCCUUUUGUAGCUGGGCCAUGGAAUAAACCAUUGUAACCCUCAUAUUUCAAUAUUUCAGUGAAUUAGUAAGUAGAAAGGAAAAAUACUGUGAACUCUUGGAAAACAUAACUUAUUUGCGAUUCCAGAUACUGUUUUUUACAAAACAAAAAGUAGAGCCAACCUAAGAGGCAGCUCGAACCUAACAUAUAAUAUUAACCAAAAAAGAGUUUAAAUUAACAAGCUCAAUGAGCUAACGAACAUAAAAUCAUAUCCUAUCCAUCUAUGUAGAACCCCGCCUCUCCCUCACCAUCGAAAAAAAAAAGAUCAGAAAAACUUUUUGGUAGAUUGAAGUCAAAAACCACUUCCCUGAGGAGCAACAGGUUCAGGAUAUGACAAAUCAACUCGAUGAAUCAUCUCUUAUUUCGAAGAAGUGGUUCACCAGAAGCUCCUUGCAGCCUUGUGGAGGACAAAUCACCAGCCAAUAUCUUUGGGGCUAGUCCUUGCUUACUUUAGCCUGCCGAGUCCAUCAUCACAACAAGAUUAUACAUUAGUUAGCUUCGACCACUAGAUAUAACUUGAGUAUCGAAAAAACUGACAAAAAUUUUAACAGCAUAACAGCAGCCCAGCCCCAUCAUUUGAAGCCAUCAUCAAAGUUAGGUGUUCAGAAUAAGCAAACCAAACAUUUGAACGAGGAUACAAGCCAGUCACGAAGUGGAAUUAUAAUCAGGAAAUUUACUUGUCAUAUCAGUCUCUAUCCGUAUCAAUCAUUAAGUUAAAGGACAUAAUGCUCCAAAGUAGGCAUGCAUUACUGUGAUGACCUGAAUGAGGUGGCUAUCGAUAUCUCAUAUUAUGUAAGUGUUUCAUUCUCUAUACUUCCUUAUGGAAUCAACUGCAGCACCAUGUCAUAUAUAUAUAUAUAUAUAUAUAUACAGUCCCCUUCUAUUGAGGGAUCCCUCAAAUAAUUUUAUUUGAGGGACGCCCUUUAGAGUACCCUACAAUUCUUUUCCUAAUAAUCCAAACCAUCUAUUUUUUAGGUAUUCAUUCAUAGAUCAUCCUUACAAAAAAUUAGACAAAUCGGAAACCGUUUCGACAUCCAAUUGUGUCUUACAAAAUCAAUGAACACGGUGCUUUAAGAAAAGUACUAAAAUUUCAAUAACUCAAUUGAGUGGUCACAUGAUAUCGGAUUCAAGUGAUUUUUUGUAGAGAUGAUCUUUGAAUGAGUAUCUACAAAAUAGACGGUUUGGAUUAGUGAAAUACAAUCCGGAGUGGGGCCUACAAGAGGUGUCCCUCAAAUAAGCUUAUUUGAGGGAUCCCUCAAUGGAAGCUCUCUGUAUAUAUAUAUAUAUCUAUAUAUAUAUAUAUAUAUCUAUAUAUAUAAAGCAAAAGGCAGAGAAUGGUGAAACAUUCAAAAUACCAGAAAAUGCCUUUGGUUAAUGCAAACAUUAAGAAUUCAAAUUAUUAAUUAAAUGAGGAUAAGAUAGUAAAUUCACACUUUUUCAUAUUUAAAAAAAUUAAAAGAAAAAUAAAAAGCAGAUAAUGGAUCCUAUUUUUAUGGAACACAACUACCCAUUAUCUUUUUUAAUUCUAAAAUAAAUUUACUUAUUUUUUUUAAAAAACCUCUCGCAAGCGCGUGCAGAGAGGCUAGUAUCUAUAUAUAUAAAGCAAAAGGCAGCGAAUGGUGAAACAUUCAAAAUACCAGAAAAUGCCCUUGGUUAAUGCAAACAUUAAGAGUUAAAAUUAUUAAUUAAAUGAGGAUAAUAUGGUAAAUUCACAAUUUUUCAUAUUAAAAAAAUUAAAAUUAAAAGAAAAUUUAGAUAAUGGAUCCUAUUUUUAUGGAACACAACAAUCCAUUAUCUUUUUUAAUUCUAAAAUAAAUUUAAAUUUUUUUUAAAAAAAGCCUCUCGCAGGCGCAGAAGCGCGUGCAGAGAGGCUAGUAUAUAUAUAAAGCAAAAGGCAGAGAAUGAUAAAACAUUCAAACUACCAGAAAAUGCCCUUGGUUAAUGCAAAUAUUAAGAAUUGAAAUUAUUAAUCAAACGAGGAUAAUAUGGUAAAUUCACACUUUUUCACAUUUAAAAAAUUAAAAUUAAAAGAAAGAAUCAGAUAAUGGAUCCUAUUUUUAUGGAACGCAACUACCCAUUAUCUUUUUUAAUUCUAACAUAAAUUAAAAUUUUAAAAAAAAAAGUCUCUCGCAAGUGUGGAAGCGCGUGCAAAGAGGCUAGUAUAGUCAAAAUAAGGAUUUUUAAUUUUGAGAAACUUGAAUGAUAUGCAAUUAUAUUUAGAAAGGCCAAAAAAACCCAUCCCGCAUGCAAAGUCAAAUUAUAAACAUAAAUGUUGCUUGAAUGAUGCCCCCCCUCCCCACCCCCUCAAUUUAUGUCACUAUGCUGACAAAUGAAAAUAACAGAUUGAAAAUGGGUAAAUCAUUCUGUUCACUCACGGGUCCUUUGUGCGCAGUUAUCCUCCGAACUGAUGGAGCCCGUGCCACUGAUGAAGCAGCUGCAGCUGCGGCAACACGUAUCCUGCAAAGAAGAAGAAGAUCAAUCCGCUUU